AGCGAACGCUGGCGGCAGGCCUAACACAUGCAAGUCGAACGGAUCCUUCGGGAUUAGUGGCGGACGGGUGAGUAACACGUGGGAACGUGCCCUUUGGCUCGGAACAACUCAGGGAAACUUGAGCUAAUACCGGAUGUGCCCUUCGGGGGAAAGAUUUAUCGCCAUUGGAGCGGCCCGCGUCUGAUUAGCUAGUUGGUGAGGUAAAGGCUCACCAAGGCGACGAUCAGUAGCUGGUCUGAGAGGAUGAUCAGCCACAUUGGGACUGAGACACGGCCCAAACUCCUACGGGAGGCAGCAGUGGGGAAUCUUGCGCAAUGGGCGAAAGCCUGACGCAGCCAUGCCGCGUGAAUGACGAAGGUCUUAGGAUUGUAAAAUUCUUUCACCGGGGACGAUAAUGGCGGUACCCGGAGAAGAAGCCCCGGCUAACUUCGUGCCAGCAGCCGCCGUAA
rnacentral:rRNA from 1 species